rnacentral:rRNA from 1 species
AGUGAACGCUGGCGGUAGGCCUAACACAUGCAAGUCGAACGGCAGCACAGGAGAGCUUGCUCUCUGGGUGGCGAGUGGCGGACGGGUGAGGAAUACAUCGGAAUCUACUCUGUCGUGGGGGAUAACGUAGGGAAACUUACGCUAAUACCGCAUACGACCUACGGGUGAAAUCAGGGGAUCUUCGGACCUUGCGCGAUUGAAUGAGCCGGUGUCGGAUUAGCUAGUUGGCGGGGUAAAGGCCCACCAAGGCGACGAUCCGUAGCUGGUCUGAGAGGAUGAUCAGCCACACUGGAACUGAGACACGGUCCAGACUCCUACGGGAGGCAGCAGUGGGGAAUAUUGGACAAUGGGCGCAAGCCUGAUCCAGCCAUACCGCGUGGGUGAAGAAGGCCUUCGGGUUGUAAAGCCCUUUUGUUGGGAAAGAAAUCCAGCUGGCUAAUACCCGGUUGGGAUGACGGUACCCAAAGAAUAAGCACCGGCUAACUUCGUGCCAGCAGCCGCCGUAA